rnacentral:rRNA from 1 species
UACAGAGGGUGCAAGCGUUAAUCGGAAUUACUGGGCGUAAAGGGUGCGUAGGUGGUUUGGUAAGUUAGGUGUGAAAGUCCUGGGCUCAACCUGGGGAUUGCGCCUGAUACUGCUGAACUAGAGUACUGUAGAGGAAAGUGGAAUUUCCGGUGUAGCAGUGAAAUGCGUAGAUAUCGGAAGGAACAUCAGUGGCGAAGGCGACUUUCUGGACAGAUACUGACACUGAGGCACGAAAGCGUGGGGAGCAAACAGG